GAAUGACUCUCUGCAUUGGUUUUCUGCUUCGCCUUGCCUUGAUGGUCAGCAACAGUAUGGAUUUCCAUCUUGUCAUUGUUCCCAUUUUACAUUGCACCUCAUAAUAAGUUAUUGAGGUAAACAGACACAGGUCUAUCUCUGUAGGGAUCAGUUAUUGAGGUAAACAGACACAGGUCUAUCUCUGUAGGGAUCAGUUAUUGAGGUAAACAGACACAGGUCUAUCUCUGUAGGGAUCAGUUAUUGAGGUAAACAGACACAGGUCUAUCUCUGUAGGGAUCAGUUAUUGAGGUAAACAGACACAGGUCUAUCUCUGUAGUUAUUGAGGUAAACAGACACAGGUCUAUCUCUGUAGGGAUC
ensembl:lncRNA